CACUAUAAUGGAAAAAUUAUGAAGAUAGCAUGAAUUUGUGCUAAAUGUAUAUAUGCUGAAUUGAAGAUAUUGUGUUUAGUGGGAAAAUCUUUAGAGAAAUCACUGAAUGAAUACAUAAUUGGAUAACCAGACUUAAUGAAUCAUUUAGGGGCAUUAAGAUGGUAUCCGGGAGUGGGAAGUUUCCUCUAUAUAGGAUAACGCAUAUCUCAUGGCUAUUCCCAAAGGGUUUAUAUAUGGUAAAAUAAGUGACUUUAGGUGGGAUAAGGAGAAAGCUCUUGGAUUUUUAUUUCUUACAACUGUUUUUAAGCUUUGAAAUGUGAAGUAUUCUUGACUUAUUUUCAAAGCAUUAGAGACAGUGAUAGCUCCCCUGCCAAUUGGCUACUAUUUUUUU